AGCGGCGGACGGGUGAGUAACGCGUAGGAAUCUACCUAGUAGAAGGGGAUAGCCCGAGGAAAUUCGGAUUAGUACCGUAUACCUCCUUCGGGAGAAAGAAGGCCUCUCUUUGAAGCUUCGCUACUANAUGAGCCUGCNUAAGAUUAGCUUGUUGGUGAGGUAAAGGCUCACCAAGGCUACGAUCUUUAGCGGGUCUGAGAGGACGAUCCGCCACAUUGGGACUGAGACACGGCCCAGACUCCUGCGGGAGGCACCAGUGGGGAAUAUUGGACAAUGGGCGAAAGCCUGAUCCAGCCAUACCGCGUGUGUGAAGAAGGCCCUAGGGUUGUAAAGCACUUUAAGUUGGGAAGAAAAGUUUAUUGGUUAAUACCCA
rnacentral:rRNA from 1 species